rnacentral:rRNA from 1 species
AGAGUUUGAUCAUGGCUCAGAACGAACGCUGGCGGCGUGGAUAAGACAUGCAAGUCGAACGGGACUACUUUUAGUAGCAAUACCGAGAGUAGUUUAGUGGCGAACGGGUGCGUAACACGUGGGCAAUCUGCCGAGAAGUGGGGGAUAGCUCGCCGAAAGGCGAAUUAAUACCGCAUAUGAUCAGGGACGACAUCUUCCCAACAUCAAAGCCGGGGUAACCUGGCGCUUCUUGAUGAGCCCGCGGCCUAUCAGCUAGUUGGUGAGGUAACGGCUCACCAAGGCUAUGACGGGUAGCUGGUCUGAGAGGACGACCAGUCACACUGGAACUGAGACACGGUCCAGACACCUACGGGUGGCAGCAGUCGAGAAUUUUUCUCAAUGGGGGAAACCCUGAAGGAGCGACGCCGCGUGGAGGAUGAAGGCUUUCGGGUUGUAAACUCCUGUCAUUUGAGAACAAGUGUAGCGAAGUAACUACUUGCUACUUGAUAGUAUCAGAAGAGGAAGAGACGGCUAACUCUGUGCCAGCAGCCGCGGUAAUACAGAGGUCUCAAGCGUUGUUCGGAUUCAUUGGGCGUAAAGGGUGCGUAGGUGGCGGGGUAAGUCAGGUGUGAAAUUUCGGAGCUUAACUCCGAAACUGCAUUUGAUACUGCCUUGCUUGAGGACUGGAGAGGAGACUGGAAUUCACGGUGUAGCAGUGAAAUGCGUAGAGAUCGUGAGGAAGACCAGUGGCGAAGGCGGGUCUCUGGACAGUUCCUGACACUGAGGCACGAAGGCCAGGGGAGCAAACGGGAUUAGAUACCCNNGUAGUCC